UUCGCCCUUUUCCGGUUGAUCCUGCCGGACCUGACUGCUAUCGGAUUGAUACUAAGCCAUGCGAGUCAUUGUAGCAAUACAAGGCAGACGGCUCAGUAACGCGUAGUCAACCUAACCUAUGGACGGGAAUAACCUCGGGAAACUGAGAAUAAUGCCCGAUAGAACACUAUACCUGGAAUGGUUUGUGUUCCAAAUGAUUUAUCGCCGUAGGAUGGGACUGCGGCCUAUCAGUUUGUUGGUGAGGUAAUGGCCCACCAAGACUAUUACAGGUACGGGCUCUGAGAGGAGUAGCCCGGAGAUGGGUACUGAGACACGGACCCAGGCCCUAUGGGGCGCAGCAGGCGAGAAAACUUUGCAAUGUGCGAAAGCACGACAAGGUUAAUCCGAGUGAUUUGUGCUAAACGAAUCUUUUGUUAGUCCUAGAACCACUAACGAAUAAGGGGUGGGCAAGUUCUGGUGUCAGCCGCCGCGGUAAAACCAGCACCUCAAGUGGUCAGGAUGAU
rnacentral:rRNA from 1 species